GUAGUGCUAACAGUUUACCUAAUUAAAAUUGGAACGAGACAGAGAAGAUUGGCAUGCCCCCUGCGCAAAGAUGACGCACAAAUUCAUGAAGCAUUCUAUAUAGGG